UACAGGGGGUGCAAACGUUGCUCGGAAUCAUUGGGCGUAAAGCGCACGUAGGCGGUUCGUUAUGUCGGAUGUGAAAGCCCUUGGCUUAACCGAGGAAGUGCAUCCGAAACUGGCGAGCUAGAGUACGAAAGAGGAUCGCGGAAUUCCCGGUGUAGAGGUGAAAUGCGUAGAUAUCAGGAGGAACACCGGUGGCGAAGGCGGCUACCUGGACAGAAACUGACGCUGAGGCACGAAAGCUGGGGGAGCAAACAGG
rnacentral:rRNA from 1 species